UAUACAUGACUUGCUGGUAUUGACUCCUCUUCCUCAUCAGCGUUCACCAUUGAAUCAACCAUGAUCUCGACUUCUUCUUCUUCGUCAUCUGGAACAUUCACCUCAGCUUGUUCAUGAUCAGUCUCACAAAACACUUGUGAUUGAUCAAUGAACUGAGACACAUGUUGCUGAUGUGGUAAUAUAUACAACUUUAUAUCAUUG
rnacentral:lncRNA from 1 species